rnacentral:rRNA from 1 species
UAUCAGCUUGUUGGUGAGGUAACGGCUCACCAAGGCGACGAUACAUAGCCGACCUGAGAGGGUGAUCGGCCACACUGGGACUGAGACACGGCCCAGACUCCUACGGGAGGCAGCAGUAGGGAAUCUUCGGCAAUGGGGGCAACCCUGACCGAGCAACGCCGCGUGAGUGAAGAAGGUUUUCGGAUCGUAAAGCUCUGUUGUAAGAGAAGAACGUGUGUGAGAGUGGAAAGUUCACACAGUGACGGUAACUUACCAGAAAGGGACGGCUAACUACGUGCCAGCAGCCGCGGUAAUACGUAGGUCCCGAGCGUUGUCCGGAUUUAUUGGGCGUAAAGCGAGCGCAGGCGGUUUAAUAAGUCUGAAGUUAAAGGCAGUGGCUUAACCAUUGUUCGCUUUGGAAACUGUUAGACUUGAGUGCAGAAGGGGAGAGUGGAAUUCCAUGUGUAGCGGUGAAAUGCGUAGA